rnacentral:rRNA from 2 species
UACGUAGGGUCCAAGCGUUAUCCGGAAUCACUGGGCGUAAAGCGUGCGUAGGUGGAUGUUUAAGUGAGAUGCGAAAUCUUGUGGCUCAACCAUAUAGACUGUAUCUCAUACUGGGCAUCUUGAGGAUGGUAGAGGCAAGUGGAACUGGUAGUGUAGCAGUGAAAUGCGUAGAUAUUACCAAGAACACCAAUGGCGAAGGCAGCUUGCUGGGCCACACCUGACACUAAGGCACGAAAGCGUGGGGAGCGAACAGG